CGAAAAGAAGGGAGUCCCCUCGUUAUCCUUCCCCGCUCCUCGCUCUGGCUCGUUCUCACACCGCCGCCGCCGCCACCCUGCCGUCUUCCAUCGGCGGCCAUGGGGAAACAAAGAGAUGGCGAUGGAGAGACCAAAGAGUACGGUUGCUUGCAUUUGCCGAAAGGGUAUAUAAGAAUAUUGCUACUUGCUCUUCCACGGAAACAAGCCUCUCAUCUUGUAGAAGUUGUCUCUCUUGGAAGCACUUGACCAAAUUAUGGAAUACAUAUUUUUCCAUUCGAAAAUUUCUUUUACAUCUCAAUUCAUGACCCUCCAAAACUUCUCUCACGUACUUAUGUCCCGUAAGAGGAUGGAAGUGUGAAUACGUUGGCGAUUGGUUGAACCUCUCUCGCCUGUGUAUACGGCUUUGAUGAUGGCUAACUCAUCAUCUUCUCGGUGUUUACGCUUCAAAAAAUUCCCCCACAUUGAUGGAGCAAUUAGGAGGACUUACAGAGGACAGAGACGAUGCAAGUAUCAAUUGAAUGCGCCGACCGUGGCCACGCGAUUCAAGUUCUCACGCAGCUCUUCGUGCCCCUCAACAGUGACGCAGAUGACUGGCCAACAACGGCACGCGGUGGGUCGCCGCCUGAACGCGUAGCUCCGCUGCGCCUCAAUGGUGGCUCGAAGAAGGGCAAGCCGCUCCGUCUAGGUGUAGCUUCACCAGCAGGUGAGUCACAGGAGACGCGCUGCCAUGGGUGGUCUUCUUUGUAUACACAAGCUAGCCAUUGGGUUGUUAUGCACGAGUAAGGAAUAUCCAGCUAGCUAGCUACAAUAGCUCAACAGAAAUACUAUUCAAACGGCCGGCCAGCUGCAUGCAUUUGCACUGCUAACGGCUAGGUAAUACAGUGUUUUGCAGCAACAACCAAACAUGUUCUAUGUAUUAUGAAUACUUCAAAAUUACUCUGUUAUGAUAAAA